rnacentral:lncRNA from 10 species
GGGAAACUGAGUUAAAUUUGAAGGGGACAAAGGGGCUUAAAAAGAGAAAUAGAUGGAAAGGGAGGGAUGAGGAGGAGGAGAGAGGGCCAAGCAGGCAGGGGAGGCAGGCCUGCAGUUGCUAAACUUUGCUCCUUCCCCGCGUUCUUGGAUAAUAUUUGUGGGGAGGCACUCCAAGCCAGACCUGCUGGAUUUCCUGCUCGUAGGCCUGUGCAGCCCAGGAAACUGUUCAGAAAAGUAGGAGGUAGGAUCCUAUUUGUACCCUGAGUGUGUGGAGCAGUUUCUACCAGGUAAACCUUCCAUCCCUGUUUUUUAGGGGAUCAAGAUAGACUGCAAGGCAAGAUGCUUGCAUUUAGUCUCAGAUGAAAAGAACAGUGGACUCCCGGGCCCUCAUCCUCCUUGUCAAGUCUCAAUUCCUCAGAUGGGCUUCAGUUCUCUCUUUAACUAAUGCUGUGCACCUGUCCAGCCUUUUCAUCUACAGAGUUCUGUCUCUGCUCCAUCCAGACCCAUCUCCUCCUUAUCCCCAGGGGCUGUGCUAGAAGUGGAUGUAAGGGGCAGAGUGUGUCUUGUUGCUUGCAUCCAAAACCUGCUGAGACCCAGGCCCUCCUCGUAGCAAAUGCCAUUCGGUCUCUUACAGAUGCCCAGGUGUGGUGACGGGCCAGCCAUGGGUUCCCCCAGUGCCUGCUGUGGAGCUUGGUCACUUGCAUCCUCCGGGUAACAAUGAUAUUUAUUAUGCCUUUUGUACCCGAUGUUUGGGGAUUUCCAUGUGGUGGACAGGUGAGCUUUGCUCUCCCAGCUGCCAACUGGCUGUAGUGCACAUGUUUUGCAGGUGGUAUUGCUUCGUGGUGGGUCCACACUAUGAGCUUAUCAGGCAAUGUGCUCAAAGGAAAGGAAGGCCUUGCGAAGUAUGUGGCACAGGUAGGGGCUAUACGCAUAUUACUGUGUCCCCCCAAAUUCAUAUGUUGAAGUCCCAACCCCCAGUACCUGGGGGUACAAAAUGUCACGAUAUUUAGAGGUAGGACCUUUAAAGAGGUAAUUCAGUUUGAACAAAGGCCACGGGGGGCAGUAGGGGUGGGGGAGAACUAAGCCACCUGACUGUGUUAGGGCCUCCAAAGAAGUGAUUAUUAAAAUGAUGGCGAGAGGAUGGGGUCCCAAGCCUACCUGGCUGAGGUCCUUAUAAGAAGAGAAGACACCAGAGAAGGACACACACAGAGGAAAGGCUGCGUGAGAGCAGCAAGAAGAUGGUUUUGUGUGAGCCAAGAAGGGGGCCUCGGGAGAACCAAACUUGCCAACACCUUGCUCUUGUACUUCCAGCCUCCAGAACUAUGAG